UAGAGGCUGGCCGCCCGCCCGCUCAGCCAUCCCUGACCCUCAUCCGCUCAGGGCAGCGGAUGCUGCAGUCAGAGCUUUCCUUCCUGGCGCCCCCUUCUCCCUCUGACUCUGCGGUGACAGCAGGAAUAGCUGGGAGGAGUAGCCCAGCCCAAGCCAGGAGGGGUGGGGAAGGACUCUCAGUUCAAGGGUGACCCCUGGGCCAGGCAUCCAUGGCUGGCCAUGCUUGAGGAAUGUUGUUGGAAUGAUGUUAGAUAAGUUGACUUGGUCAGUGUUAAAAUUCCUCUAUUGCAGAUGAGGAAACUGAGGUUCAAAGAAGGGAAAAGACUUCUCCGUUGCAAAAGGGGUCAGGGAUAAGAUUUGAACCAAGUCUGUCAGCCACAGGCUCACAAAGCAAGACCCCUCUAAGCUCCAAACACUCACCAACGGUUACAGUUGUCCCAGUAGGUUCCCAAGACUGGAUAGAUACGACCUCCAUGCAUACAUCCUGUUGGAAGGGAAGAGAAGAGAAGUGGAACCAGAACCAGAGAGGAUGGGCUGAUUGGCCAGGUCCUUGGAGGUCAGGUACCUUGAACCUUUCCAAGAUUCUCUCUCUUUCUCUCUCUCUGUCUCACACACACACACAUACCAGCUGUCACUGAAAUUAAAUUAUAACUGAAGACAUCACACACACAUACACAUAGACACACCAGCUCUCACUGAAAUUAAACUAUAACUGAAGACAUCACACACACACACACAACAGCUCUCACUGAAAUUGAAGCCAAACUAUAACUGAAGAUAUCACACACACACACACACACACACACACCAGCUCUCACUGAGAUUAAGCUAUAACUGAAGACAUCACACACACACACACCAGCUCUCACUGAAAUUAAACUAUAACUGAAGACAUCACACACACACACACACACACCAGCUCUCACUGAAAUUAAACUAUAACUGAAGACAUCACACACACACACACACACACCAGCUCUCACUGAGAUUAAGCUAUAACUGAAGACAUCACACACACACACACACACACCAGCUCUCACUGAAAUUAAACUAUAACUGAAGACAUCACACACACACACCAGCUCUCACUGAAAUUAAGCUAUAACUGAAGACAUCACACACACACACACACACACACCAGCUCUCACUGAAAUUAAGCUAUAACUGAAGACAUCACACACACACACACACACCAGCUCUCACUGAAAUUAAGCUAUAACUGAAGACAUCACACACACACACACACACACCAGCUCUCACUGAAAUUAAACUAUAACUGAAGACAUCACACACACAUACACACACCAGCUCUCACUAAAAUUAAACUAUAACUGAAGGCAUCACACACACAUACACACACCAGCUCUCACUGAAAUUGAAGCCAAACUAUAACUGAAGAUAUCACACACACACACACACACACACCAGCUCUCACUGAAAUUAAGCUAUAACUGAAGACAUCACACACACACACACACACACACACCAGCUCUCACUGAAAUUAAACUAUAACUGAAGACAAAUCCUGCAGGGUCACACACCAACUGCUGUUUGGGAAGUUCUUCAAUGAUUCCAACCUGGAUUCCUCUUACUUUACUUGGAUGCCAGCCACAACAUUCCUGGGAUCCUUUUCCAUUUAAAUAAGUUAGGGCUUGGAGAUGGGGAGUGGGAGGAGCAUGGGGAAGCCAAGGCCCAGAGAAGGUAAGCAACCGUCCUAAGAUAACACAGCACUCUUGAGAUGACAGCUCAGGUAUGCAGUCUGCCGGCCCAAGCCCCAUGGAACUGUGGGAAGGAACGCAAGUGAUUCUCCUAUUGGACAGGGGCAAGUGCAUGGAAAAGGAUGAUGGUGAGGCUGAAAGCAGGAAAAGAUUUGACCCAUCUCCCACGUUGGGCCCAGGCCAGAGGUCUCUACCAGCAAAGAGGAUAAAAGAGACUACACCUGGACAAACCCUCCCAGGCCCAGGCCUGAGCCUCACAUGUGGCCCCAGGGAAGGCAUCAGGGACUCCCUUUGCCCUCCCACUGACCUCCCUGCAAGCCUCCCCCAAACCAAGGGGCAUCCUCAGCUGGCCAGACCCUGGGGGAAGGGAGAGAGCCGAGGAUCACCGGCACCUGUGGCUGGGUUACCCCUGCCAUGGACCACUGGGUGAUCAAGAAGUCAUUCCAAAAUGUGAAGCGUUCUGAAGAUAUGCACAUAGCGUAAGAACCUGAUGUAAUGUGGUGGUCAAGGCGGUCUCAGAGAGGAGAUGACGUUUGAGCUGACACCUGAGGGAUGAGAAGAAAGCAGCCAUUCCCAGGGCCCAGGGGAGGCAUCCUAGGAAGCCGGAUCCGCAUGAGCAAAAGCCCUGAGGCCUGGCACAAGUUGGUCUGCUUGAGAAGCAGGAGAGAGCCCUGAGCAUCCGGAGUGCAGCAAGCGAGGUGCACAGAGGAGCAGGAAGGGGCUGGGAGAAGGCUGGGGCCGGAUCAUGCAGGACAGGCUGGAGGAAGGGGCUUGAAUUGUCUUCUGACCACUGAGGGGAUAUAAACAUGAGGGCAAAAUCAUCUGAUUUCCAUGUGCAAAGGCCCACUCUGGCUGCUCUAGAGAGAACAGAUGAUUGCAGGGUAAAAGUGGAUUUAGAGAGGUCAGAUGGAGGCUGGGUACGUGCCGUGUAUGGUAGAUAGCAUGCUACCAAAUACACUCACAGGUAGCCCUAUUAUCUCCAUUUCACAGAUGAGCAAGUCAAGAUGCAGAAGGACUCUCUGGCUUGUCCAAGGUCACACGGCUGUUAGGAGCAGAGCAGCGUCCUGGUGCUCAAGCCCUGAGGGCCCCAACACACUGCCUCUGCAAUGGCCACAACUGUCCAAAGACUAAGCUGACUCUCACACCUGGUAGUGUCUGUGGUCAUUCACUGUGGAUGGAAGUGGAGAAAUGCAGAAAACAGAAACACAGCUUCCCCUUUUCUGUCAUAUUUCUGUAUCGUUGGUGUUUGGAGCCAGUUGAGCACAAAGGGCCCCUGAGUGCUGUUUCCUUGUGAUAUUUGGGGGUUAACAGCUUCCCCUCAUCUCUUAAUUACCUGCCCUCCUUCACUUCAGCUGCACAUUCGUUAAAGAAUGCUCUCCCAGGAGAAGAGCUUGGUGUUAUCACCCGCAAACAUCUUAGAAAACUAAUGCUAUCCUUGAGUGCCUGUUUACAGAAACAUUUUUACAUUUCACUUGACAUUUCCAGCAAAUCUUGAUCCUUCCAGCCAGGAAUAUUAAUAUAUAGGUCUUGAAAAGUGCAAGAGGCUCUUCCAUGGCUCCAAGCACAUUUGACACUCUUCCUUUUCUGAUCCCCAAGCAGACAGUGAUGAAACCCCAAUAGCUGGGCGAAUACUCAUCCAACAGGAAGAAUCAGUUUUAAGAGCUGGGUUCUCAGGGUCAAAUAGUGUGGUGUGGCCUUUUGGUUGUAAUGAGUUGAAUGGAGGUCUCAAAAAAGAUAUAUCCAUGUUCUAAUCCCCAGAACUUGUGAAUGUGACCUUAUUUGGAAAAAGAGUCCUUUUGGAUGUAAUUAAGUUAAGGAUUUUGAGAUAAGGAGAUCAUCCUGGGUUAUCUGGGUGGACCCUAAAUCUGUUGACAAUGUCCUUAUGAGAGACCCCAGAGGACACAGACAGGAAAGGAAGAGGCAAUGUGGCCCCAGAGGCUGAGAUCAGAGCUCUGUGGCCACAGUUCGAGGAACACCUGGAGCCACCAGAAGCUGGAGGAGGCAAGGAACAGAUUCUCCCUGAUCCUCUGGAUACAGAGGGAGAAUAGCCUGGCCGACACCUUGAUUUUGGACUUCUGGCCCCCAGAACUGAGAAAAUUAACUUCUGUUGUGUUAAGCAGCCACGUUUGUAGCAGUUCAUCAUAGCAGCCCUGGGAAAGAAAUACAGUGGGCUUCCAGUUCAAGGAGGAUCCACGAGGCCUGAGCUCCAUCUGUCGAUUGGAAUCACCAAAAUCAAGGCUGUGUGCGGGUAACGCCAGCACAAGCAGCUCAUGCUGGCAAAAGCAGACCAAACCGGCUCAGGCAACAUCAAGUCAUCUUGAAGUGGUUCACGCACCACAGUGAGUGGUAUUGAUUGUGGUUAAGAGCCAGGUUCAAGGAGGUUUAUCACUCAGUAGCCAGGUAAAGCAGGUUCCAGGCCUGGCUCCACCACUCAACAACCGGGGAAACAGGGGUAAGCUUCUUAAAUGCUCCGUGUCUCAGUUUCUCCAUGUGUAAAAUGAGGGCGCUAAUAACAGUCCCUACCUGCAAGGUGGUUGUGAAGAUGAUAUGAAUUCAUAUAUGUAAGGCACUUGGAAUUGACAAUACUGACAUACCACAAAUACAAAAUAAGUGUCUGCCAUUAUUAAGCUAACCCAAAUCAAAACAGACACAGAUGAAUUCAGAAUACUCGAGUAGACUCAGAUAUGUUCAAAAGGAGCCCACCAGUUAAAACUAGCUGAGACCAGUGUAAACUGGCUCAAGCCUUUUGGGCCAAGCUGUACUAAAACCAGAUUAAAUCAGUCAAAACAGGAUUAGAAUAGUCAGUCUGGAAUCUCUACACGCACGCCUGCACAUUUGAGGGGUCUCUCUCCGCCCCCUCUGUACAUCAGAUUGAAUAGUAACAAACAGUCCCACAUCUCCCAAGAAUGAGCAUAAUGGACAAGCAGAGGGCUGCCGAUGUCCCCACCAGAACGAGCAUAAUGGACAGGCAGGGGGCCGCCGAUGUCCCCAACUAAGACAUGCAGACAUUUCCCUGUCGGAAAUGCGCUCAGAUUCUUUACGGCAGGUCAAGGCUCAAAUAUCAGAAACCAAUUUCACUCACACUAACUAAACAAGAGACGGGAUCUGUGGUUCAGGAUCCUGAGGCACUCGUGAAACUCAUGGGUAGGAAGGUCAGCUGGAGCCAGUUAGUGUCUGGAAGGCUAUCAGAGCUCAAGGCCCCUCUCUCUGGCCCAGGGAGGGGAAUUAACUCCCUCAAAGGCAGGAGCUCAGUGAGCAGGAGGCUGGUAGGGAGGUGGGAGCUGCAGGUGACCGGUUAGAAGUCAGAGGCUGUUGUGGGGCAGCUUGCACCAGUGCUGUUCCCUGGCUGUUCCCUGGCUGUUCCCCGUCCUCUGGGGUGCCUGCUUCACAGAGCACCAAUAAUGCAUUUGUGUCACUCUAUGUUUCCUGGCAGGAGCAGACCUGCAGAGGGGCCAGAAGACACCUGGCUGGGUGGGGAGCAGCCCCUCCGUAAUAACAAUCGGAACCUGGGAAGAUAAGUAGAGUCCCAGGGGAGGGACAGAGUUUCCCCUGUGUCACCACAUGGCUACUUUGACACAAAUGCACGUGGGCAGAGAGAGGCAUGCAGGUCAAGGGCCUGGCAGGGAGUCAGGGGCCCUCAGUGCCAGUCCUGGCUCUGCCUCUGCCUCUGACACGCCAUGUGACCUUGAGCAAGUCGCCACCCUGUCUGGGCUUCGCUAACCCAUAUACGGAAUGAGAAGGUAUCGUCCCUGGUCACUGCAGGUUUUAAAUCAUGUAGUGAGAGAGAGCUCAUUUGGUCCAACUCUCUGCAACUGAAGGAAUGGAGACACCGAGGGGGAGGAAUCGGCCGCAGUGAUGAGUGGGUGGCAAAGGGAGCUAUCACUACCAUUGAUUAUCCAGCUACUUGUGCUUGAUAAACUCCCUCCUGGUGGAAUGGGCUUUCCCACAUCCAGCAGCACAAAUGCUGUGAGCAUCUACUACGGGCUGGGCACCUUCUCUGGGCUGGCACUUGACAUGGGUUAUCUCAUUUAACUCCCUAACAACCCUAUGUGGUAUUAUCAUCCCCAUUUCACAGGCGGCAAAACUGAAUCCCAGAGAGAAGACUCACUCAGACACAGCUAUCUGAACACUCGUUUCCAGUUCCCCUAGGGCAGCAGAGGAAGCAAGGUGGGGGGAAGCCAGUGGUCAAGGAUUCCAUGCGGAAUGUACCCUAGAAUUAACCCGUGGAGAGAGGGGUCUCCCUCUGUUGCCCAGGCUAUAGUACAAUGGUGCAAUCUCGGCUCACUGCAACCUCUGCCUCUGGGUUCAGGCGAUCCUUUGCCUCCGCCUCCUGAGUAGCUGGAAUUACAGGCAUGCACCAUGAUGCUUGGCUAAUUUUUGUAUUUUUAGUAGAGUCAGGGUUUUGCUCUGUUGGCCAGGCUGGGCUCCAACUUCUGGUCUCAAGUGAUCCACCCGCCUCGGGCUCCCAAAGUGCCAGGAUUACAGGCGUGAGCCACUAUGCCUGGCCAAAAGUGGCGAUGUGUUCUUAAUGCCCAUUUUCACAUAAAAGGCUUCCAGGAGGGGCCUCCCUGGGCUCCCGGAGGACACCCACAGCCCUUACCAUGCAGCUCCCUCCAACAUCAAGCCAGGAAUGGCCGAACAGAUCUUUCUCAUGCUUCAAAUCUCUGAUGAAUUUCUCUUGCCAGAGAAAGCUUGCCACUUUCCAAGGCCUCACCCAAUCAGAUCCGUCCAACAAGGGUGAUCUCCCUAUCAUUAAGUUAACUGACUUGGAACCUCAGUUAAUCUGCAAAAUCCCUUUUGUCGUAUAAUGGAAUACAAUCAUUUGGUUCACAUGCUCAUCUUAUUCACAGGCCCUACACUCAUACAAGGGCAGGGGACCACAGAAGAGUGAAGGCCAGUGAGGGUCACCUCAGAAUUCUGCCCAACACCGGUGUUUUGUAAUUUGGGUAGAUGUUGCCAUGUUGUCCUCGGUGGGGAUUAUGCAGAGGGAACUCUCCUCCUCCAGCAACAGUACACGUACCUGCUUUUCCAUGGUGCUGCUUAGAGAAUGUUAUCAAACCUUUGGAUUUCUGCCAGUCUGAUAGGUGAAAAAUGGAAUCUCAAUUGUAUUUUAAAAUUGUAAUUAUCGCCUUAUGAAUAAGGCUGAGCAUUUCCUCAAAAGCAUAAGAGCCAUUUAUAUAUUUUUUUCUUUAUGGCUUCUGGUUUUGAGGCAUAGAAAGGUCUUUCUAGCUCUAAAGUUAAUCAGAAAUUCUAUGUUUUCUUUUUGCUUUUUUAAAAAUUUUACUUUAAGUCCUUGGAUACAUGUGCUGAACGUGCAGGUUUGUUACAUAGGUAUACAUGGGCCAUGGUGGUCUGCUGCCCCUAUCAACCCCUCAUCUAGGUUUUAAGCUCCACAUGCAUUAGGUAUUUGUCCUAAUGCUCUUCCUCCUCUUUCCCCAUGCCCCCAACAGGCCCCGGUGUGUGAUGCUCUCCUCCCUGUGUCCAUGUGUUCUCAUUGUUUAGCUCCCACUAAUGAGUGAGAACAUGCCGUGUUUGGUUUUCUGUUCCUGUGUUAGUUUUCUGAGGAUGAUGGUUUUCAGCUUCAUCCAGGUCCCUGCAAAGGACAUGAACUCAUUCUUUUUUAUGGCUGCAUAGUAUUCCAAGUUGCAUAUGUGCCACAUUUUCUUUAUCCAGUAUAUCAUUGAUGGGCUUUUGGGUUGCUUCCAAGUCUUUGCUAUUGUAAGUAGUGCUGCAAUAAACAAAUGUAUGCAUGUGUCUUUAUAGUAGAAUGGUUUAUAAUCCUUU